CUAUCGGAACAACCUUGAUACCUCUCAAGGGUGUUCUACUCUUUUGUGUGUACAGAAUGCCUCGGUAUUACUGUGACUACUGUGAUACUUACUUGACACAUGAUUCUCCUUCUGUUAGAAAGCAGCAUAAUGCAGGGUACAAACACAAGGGAAAUGUUCGAACUUAUUAUCAACAAUUUGAGGCACAACUGAAUCAAAGUCUAAUUGAUCAAAAAGUCAAGGAACAUCUAGGGGCCUUUAGACCAGUUGGCCUUCCUUUUCCUCAGCUAAGGCCUGGUCUUCCUGGUCUUCCAACUCCUCCAAUGCAGAUGCCCGGCAACCCUCAAAUGCCAGCUGGUGCCCAAUGGGUCCCUGGUAUGCGGCCUCCGGUGCUUCCUAGGCCCAUGCCCGGUCUUCCAGGUUAUGCACCUCCACCAAUGCCUCAGAUGUUGGCACCUCCCGGUGCUCCUAUGCCUGGUCAAGUCAAUAAUAUGCAAAGACCUGCCGGUCCACCAAGUGCAGUUCCAGGAAGUAUGGGAAUGCCUGCUCCUACUGGUGGCCCUCCAAUGUUUGCACCACCUCCCGUGUAUCAAGGAAGUACCACUGUGCCAACAACCGGAGGAGUUGAUAAUUCCAGUACCAACGCUCAAGCUGCCGACUCUAACCAAUAGGCCAGUCUAUGUACAUAAAAUCCAGAUGCUACCGUCCUGAAGCUAUUCUUGAUCCUGGCUUCAACAUGUUUUCUUUUCUUUGUUGUGAUGUUAACUGCUAGAAAUCCAUGAUAUGGUUAGAUGUAAGGUUUAUUUCUGGGAAAGAAACUGGUCAGGGAAGAGAGAGACAAAUUCAUUUACUCGGGGAAGGUUUUUGGCUAAGCAACAUUGAUUG
rnacentral:misc_RNA from 1 species